UACGUAGGGGGCAAGCGUUGGUCCGGAAUCAUUGGGCGUAAAGCGCGCGUAGGUGGCCCGGUAAGUCCGCUCUGAAAGUCACAGGCUCAACCUGUGAAAGCGGGUGGAUACUGCCGGGCUAGAGUCCGGAAGAGGCGAGUGGAAUUCCUGGUGGAGCGGUGAAAUGCGCAGAUAUCAGGAGGAACACCCGUAGGCGAAGGCGGCACUCUGGGCCGAUUCUGACACUGAGGAGCGAAAGCGUGGGGAGCGAACAGG
rnacentral:rRNA from 1 species